rnacentral:rRNA from 1 species
CAAACGAAAAAAUUGGCUAUCGUCCUAAAACUAGACUUCCACAAGGCUUUUGACUCCGUGUCUUGGACAGCCUUGUCUGCCAUUAUGAGAGCUAAGGGCUUCCCUCCGGUGUGGUGUGAUUGGAUUCAUAAUCUUAAUCAGACUAGCCAGUCGGUUGUGCUUCUUAAUGGUAAACCUGGCCCAUGGAUCAACUGCAGACAGGGGCUUCGUCAAGGCGACUCGCUAUCUCUUUAUCUCUUCAUUAUUGUAACCGAUGUGUUGCAACGUCUGAUC